rnacentral:rRNA from 1 species
CCUACGGGAGGCAGCAGUGGGGAAUAUUGGGCAAUGGGCGCAAGCCUGACCCAGCAACGCCGCGUGAAGGAAGAAGGCUUUCGGGUCGUAAACUUCUUUUCUGAGGGACGAAGAAAGUGACGGUACCCCAGGAAUAAGCCACGGCUAACUACGUGCCAGCAGCCGCGGUAAUACGUAGGUGGCAAGCGUUAUCCGGAUUUAUUGGGUGUAAAGGGCGUGUAGGCGGGAAAGCAAGUCAGAUGUGAAAACUCAGGGCUCAACCCUGAGCCUGCAUUAGAAACUGUUUUUCUUGAGUGCUGAAGAGGAGAUCGGAAUUCCGUGUGUAGCGGUGGAAUGCGUAGAUAUACGAAGGAACACCAGUGGCGAAGGCGGAUUGCUGGACAGUAACUGACGCUGAGGCGCGAAAGCAUGGGGAGCGAACAGGAUUAGAUACCCCGGUAGUC